rnacentral:lncRNA from 1 species
UAGAACUGUUGUAGAACUGCUGUGAUUCCCGCGUAUUCAACACAUUGGUUCCCACAGGUGGUGUCAUAACAUUUUGUGCUGGUGCUGAAUAGUAAGGAGAUUGGUAACUGGCUCUAUAUUGAUUAUCCAAAUGUGAUGAAACAGCUUUACUGGGCACUUGGGAAUAGUGUCCUGAGGGUGCACUGUAGUUCGGAGGAUGCGAGCCAUAGCCAGAGGGGAACUGCAUCUGACUCUGCACGGGACCGUUCUGGCAGCGCGGCGCAGCGCCCUGAGGGGCCGCGGCCUCCCGGGAGCCACCGGGCCCGCCCGGGUAAGCGGCGACGGCACCGGCGGGCCGCGGCGGCAGCCCGGCUGGCGCAGACAUGGCUUCUGGCGGCGCUUCCUCGCUCCGAGCCGCUCCUCCUCCGCUCCUACCGCGGCCGGGGGACACCAGCGGGCGGAAGGCAGCGGCCACCCCAGGGCCGAG